UCCCAUACCGAACACGGAAGUUAAGCUCUCUAGCGCCGAUGGUAGUUGGGACCUUGUCCCUGUGAGAGUAGGACGUCGCCAAGCA
rnacentral:rRNA from 3 species